CAGAUUUGAACUGAACUUGUCGUUUGAACCAUGGACUUCUAAUCACACCAAACUUAUAUUGCAGGUGCUGGAUGUUGUCAGUCCCACCGACUGGAUUGAGGAUCGACGCUCUGACUGUGGUCUUGGUCCUCCUCAGGCACCUGCUGGUUCUCAGCUGGAGAACCAGGUCCAGUUAUCCAAGAAAAAAUUCAUAUCUUUUAUCAUCUGGGAAGACUGUUUUCCCAGGGAUUAGUUUGACUGGGUGUCAUUAUCUGCACUUCCACAAGAGGGAGUGCCAAACCCAUCAUUACCUGGAGGGUGGAAAGCACGUAACCCCCUGAAAUGUUCUUGGUUCGAGACGCUGCUGGAUACAGAAAUGUACUGGAACAGAAAAAUUCCAGAUCCGGGUGUCCAGCUCUGAUUGGACGGACCAUUUGGUUAUUCCUUCCCUGCAGAUUGAGAUCUAGUUUUGUGUUCAGAAUCUGUUAACUGUCAAGAUGACGUCUGAAGAUCUCGUCAGCUAACUUCUACAAAAAGUUCAUCUUAAUUUUGUAAAAAAUAGUUUGCCAGCUAAUUGCUACAUUCAUCUGUUGGUGUUAAAAUGUUUGGCUUAAGUAAGCUCGGCUUAAUUUUGCUGUUUAUGUUGACUUUGUUCUAGCUCUGUCAGUGGUUCUCAAUCCUGAUCCUCCUGGAUUCCUGCCAUGUACAUAUUGUCCAUCUGCCCACUAUCCCACUGCACGAAGCACCCUUCACACAUGAACCUCUUCUCUGGGCACUUGUAUCUUCACACUUUCAGAACUAGAGUUGAAAAAUCUUUGAGACAGCUGGGAAUGGAACCCGAAUCAUUGAAAUCUCUGAACACUGGCCCAGUCUGCUGCACCACCUACAGACACAUGCCAAAACUCUUUUUGAGAGUCUUUUGAAUUUUAACUAUUUGUUUGACUUUUAAAUAUAGGUUGAACUCUUGGGAUUUGAACCCACAACAUCAAAACUUCUAAUCACUGUUCAAACACACUACACCACCACAUUACAUUUUCUUUUUCUCAAGCCUGAGAUUUUUUUUAGUGAAUGUGUUAGACCCCAAAUGUCAAUGAGAUGCCUGAGAAUCGUAACUGUAACAUCAAAGUAAUCACUGCUUCAGUCAAUGUUAAACACACUUAUCACACACUUAUUAUUAAACUUUUGAGGUUAUACUGUUUGUACUCAUUAAAUAAAAGAUCAUUGUCAUGCCUGAGUAUUGAACCUACAAUAUCCAAGCAACUGAUCAGUGUUCCACCACAUUACACCAUCUGGAAAUGCUUUGUGUUACUCCUUUUUAUGAAACUUUUCAGGUUAUACUGUGUUUGUAUUAAUUAAAUAAAGAUCAUUGUCAUGCCUGAGUUUUGAACUUACAACAUCCAAAUGACUAAUCAUUGUUCAAACAUACUACACCACCUUGUGCUGCUCUUUUUUUAAUCAAACUUUUGAGGUUAUACUCUUUGUAUGCAUUAAAAAAGUAACUGACAUGCUCCU